UACGGGGGGAGCAAGCGUUGUUCGGAUUUACUGGGCGUAAAGAGCGUGUAGGCGGCCACGCAGGUCCGUUGUGAAAACUGGAGGCUCAACCUUCAGACGUCGACGGAAACCGUAUGGCUAGAGUCCGGAAGAGGAGAGUGGAAUUCCUGGUGUAGCGGUGAAAUGCGCAGAUAUCAGGAAGAACACCAAUGGCGAAGGCAGCUCUCUGGGACGGUACUGACGCUGAGACGCGAAAGCGUGGGGAGCGAACAGG
rnacentral:rRNA from 1 species